UUAUGUAUUUUGUCUUACUGUCGUCAUUGUCUUAUAAACAGACCAACAUUGCUUAUACCAUUAGUGUUGUGAAUGCUAAAGGGUUAAAUUGUAUGUGUGUGUGUCAUUUAAGAAUUUGAAAAAUGAUAGAAAUUCUUAUUAAUAUUAUUUGUUAAGUAUUUUACUGUGUCCUGGCCUAAUUAAAUACAAAUCAUUUGGAAGUGCAGGAUUAAUAAUUUUGCUUCAGGGUAUUCAAGGAUUAGCAUAUUAGUAGAAAUUUAGAAACAAUUAUAGUCAGAGAGAGAAAGAGAGAGAGAGAGAGAGUUAGUAGGAUAUAAGGAUCAGAGACACUGAACACAGGGGACUAUUGAACCCAGUGGUAAAAGUCGGAAAAAAAAAUAAU